GUUCCAUAAUAACGAUCGUUCAGUUCUUUUUAUCGCCGAUUUGUUCAGGCCAUUCGAGUUCCCGCCCUUUUCUCUUGUUUCCUUCCCUAUCUUAAGUUUGUAACCAAAGAUAUAAAAGAAGUUACAGAAGUUCUGUUUGGAAUUAGAAUGAAAGAUUUGCCAUGCUCAUGCACUCAUGCUACAGCAGUUCAGUGCGCAGCUCUGCAGAAGAACAAAGCGAAGCCACGCUGUAGAACUGCCGGCGGUCCGACCCGUGGCUCCGGAGGCGCGACGCGAGCGCGCCAAUCCUGGGCCGGACCACGAGCGCCACGCGUACCGCGGCCUUGACCACGGCGUACGCCGCGACCGCGCGCGCCAGCCUCAGGUCGGCCGCGGCCAAACCGGCGACGCGCGCGGCCAGGCCCGCCAGCCUGCGCGCGUCGGACGCGGCGAGCGCGAGCGUCACGAGCAGCGCGCCCGCGAGGGAGGCCAGCAGCGCCAGCGAGGCGGCGACGAGGAGCCCGCCGGAGAAGGCGCAGGCGUAGAGGAGCGCGACGAUGAGGAGGCCGAGGUGGUGCGCCAUCGCGUGCUCGCGAGCCACCAAAGGCGGCCGCGGGGAGACGGCUGUCGUGAUAAGGAGAGGAAUCGUGCCCUUGCAUUAGGUCUGGGAUCCCUUCGUUUCGUUGUUGCAUGCAUUGAGCGUUUUGGUAUGCUUCCCACGGUGGCGAGUGUCGGCCGGAAGUUCUCAGCAAGCGAACUUGCAGCCUCCCAGUUCCCACACGUCAAAAAAUUUACUCCA
rnacentral:misc_RNA from 1 species